GGAGCUUCGCUUCAUUUGGGUAGCGUGAUCGGAGCUAUCAUCAGAUCCGCUAGAUUAUACACCGUGCAGUCGGGGCAAGCCAAAGAGAACGCUAUGCUCGAGCUUGAUGACAGCGAUUGUGGUGCCAAAUCAUCGAGCAACAGAGCCCCUCUGUUACAGUAAUGCAGGAUUCUAUCUGAAGUUGGAG